rnacentral:rRNA from 1 species
UACAGAGGGGGCAAGCGUUGUUCGGAAUUACUGGGCGUAAAGGGCGCGUAGGCGGCCUGCUAAGUCGAACGUGAAAUCCCUGGGCUCAACCCAGGAACUGCGUCCGAUACUGGUUGGCUUGAAUCCGGGAGAGGGAUGCGGAAUUCCAGGUGUAGCGGUGAAAUGCGUAGAUAUCUGGAGGAACACCGGUGGCGAAGGCGGCAUCCUGGACCGACAUUGACGCUGAGGAGCGAAAGCUAGGGGAGCAAACGGG